CCCUUAGAUGUUCUGGGCUGCACGCGCGCUACACUGAUGCAUCCAACAAGUUUUCUCCCUUGUUCGGUAGGACUGGGUAAUCUUUUGAGUAUGCAUCGUGAUGGGGAUAGAUUAUUGCAAUUAUUAAUCUUCAACGAGGAAUUCCUAGUAAGCGCGAGUCAUCAGCUCGUGCUGAUUACGUCCCUGCCCUUUGUACACACCGCCCGUCGCUGCAACUGAUUGGGUGACCUGGUGAACAUCUUGGACCGGCUCACUCAAUUUCGAGAGGACUGGAAAAGGCCGUAAAUCAGGUACAUCUAGAAAUUGCAAAAGUCGUAACA
rnacentral:rRNA from 1 species